rnacentral:lncRNA from 1 species
CCGCCACUGGCACGCAACCACUACCCCAAAGAAAGAAAAAAAAUGGAAAAGAAAUCCCUCAUCUUCUUUCAAAAUCAGAAUCAAAGCUCUCAACUUUGACCUCGAUUUCGCUCAAAACUGGGCUAGGUACGGCCAAUUCGAUGCGAUUCCUUCGGCGGAUAGCGGGAAUCUUCGGCCUCGCUAGAGAAGAAGACCACGAUCUGCAAGACCACAGAGGAGGAGAGCUUGAACAAGACGAAGCAGCAGCAGCAGCGCCAUACAUCCCUCCUCAUCAAUCCCGUCAUCGUUCAGACUUCCAUGAAACUGGCCUCCCUCGUCGAGGCUUCAGCGUCCCUGUACAGGUCGCCGUCGGCCCUGUCCUCUUGCCCUGCAAGGCCGGCGAU